GAUGAACGCUGGCGGCGUGCCUAAUACAUGCAAGUCGAGCGAACGGACGAGAAGCUUGCUUCUCUGAUGUUAGCGGCGGACGGGUGAGUAACACGUGGAUAACCUACCUAUAAGACUGGGAUAACUUCGGGAAACCGGAGCUAAUACCGGAUAAUAUUUUGAACCGCAUGGUUCAAAAGUGAAAGACGGUCUUGCUGUCACUUAUAGAUGGAUCCGCGCUGCAUUAGCUAGUUGGUAAGGUAACGGCUUACCAAGGCAACGAUGCAUAGCCGACCGGAGAGGGUGAUCGGCCACACUGGAACUGAGACACGGUCCAGACUCCUACGGGAGGCAGCAGUAGGGAAUCUUCCGCAAUGGGCGAAAGCCUGACGGAGCAACGCCGCGUGAGUGAUGAAGGUCUUCGGAUCGUAAAACUCUGUUAUUAGGGAAGAACAUAUGUGUAAGUAACUGUGCACAUCUUGACGGUACCUAAUCAGAAAGCCACGGCUAACUACGUGCCAGCAGCCGCGGUAAUACGUAGGUGGCAAGCGUUAUCCGGAAUUAUUGGGCGUAAAGCGCGCGUAGGCGGUUUUUUAAGUCUGAUGUGAAAGCCCACGGCUCAACCGUGGAGGGUCAUUGGAAACUGGAAAACUUGAGUGCAGAAGAGGAAAGUGGAAUUCCAUGUGUAGCGGUGAAAUGCGCAGAGAUAUGGAGGAACACCAGUGGCGAAGGCGACUUUCUGGUCUGUAACUGACGCUGAUGUGCGAAAGCGUGGGGAUCAAACAGGAUUAGAUACCCUGGUAGUCCACGCCGUAAACGAUGAGUGCUAAGUGUUAGGGGGUUUCCGCCCCUUAGUGCUGCAGCUAACGCAUUAAGCACUCCGCCUGGGGAGUACGACCGCAAGGUUGAAACUCAAAGGAAUUGACGGGGACCCGCACAAGCGGUGGAGCAUGUGGUUUAAUUCGAAGCAACGCGAAGAACCUUACCAAAUCUUGACAUCCUUUGACAACUCUAGAGAUAGAGCCUUCCCCUUCGGGGGACAAAGUGACAGGUGGUGCAUGGUUGUCGUCAGCUCGUGUCGUGAGAUGUUGGGUUAAGUCCCGCAACGAGCGCAACCCUUAAGCUUAGUUGCCAUCAUUAAGUUGGGCACUCUAAGUUGACUGCCGGUGACAAACCGGAGGAAGGUGGGGAUGACGUCAAAUCAUCAUGCCCCUUAUGAUUUGGGCUACACACGUGCUACAAUGGACAAUACAAAGGGCAGCGAAACCGCGAGGUCAAGCAAAUCCCAUAAAGUUGUUCUCAGUUCGGAUUGUAGUCUGCAACUCGACUACAUGAAGCUGGAAUCGCUAGUAAUCGUAGAUCAGCAUGCUACGGUGAAUACGUUCCCGGGUCU
rnacentral:rRNA from 1 species